rnacentral:rRNA from 1 species
UACGGGGGGGGCAAGCGUUGUUCGGAAUUAUUGGGCCUAAAGCAUCCGUAGCCGGUUCUACAAGUCUUCCGUUAAAUCCACCUGCUUAACAGAUGGGCUGCGGAAGAUACUAUGGAGCUAGGAGGCGGGAGAGGCAAGCGGUACUCGAUGGGUAGGGGUAAAAUCCGUUGAUCCAUUGAAGACCACCAGUGGCGAAGGCGGCUUGCCAGAACGCGCUCGACGGUGAGGGAUGAAAGCUGGGGGAGCAAACCGG